rnacentral:rRNA from 1 species
UACAGAGGGGGCAAGCGUUGUUCGGAAUUACUGGGCGUAAAGGGCGCGUAGGCGGCCAACUAAGUCGGACGUGAAAUCCCCGGGCUCAACCCGGGAACUGCGUCCGAUACUGGAUGGCUUGAAUCCGGGAGAGGGAUGUGGAAUUCCAGGUGUAGCGGUGAAAUGCGUAGAUAUCUGGAGGAACACCGGUGGCGAAGGCGGCAUCCUGGACCGGUAUUGACGCUGAGGCGCGAAAGCCAGGGGAGCAAACGGGG